rnacentral:rRNA from 1 species
UACGAAGGGUGCAAGCGUUACUCGGAAUUACUGGGCGUAAAGCGUGCGUAGGUGGUUCGUUAAGUCUGUCGUGAAAGCCCCGGGCUCAACCUGGGAAUUGCGAUGGAGACUGCAAGGCUAGAAUCUGGCAGAGGGGGGUAGAAUUCCACGUGUAGCAGUGAAAUGCGUAGAUAUGUGGAGGAACACCGAUGGCGAAGGCAGCCCCCUGGGUCAAGAUUGACGCUCAUGCACGAAAGCGUGGGGAGCAAACAGG